rnacentral:rRNA from 1 species
GAUGAACGCUGGCGGCGUGCCUAAUACAUGCAAGUCGAGCGAACGGACGAGAAGCUUGCUUCUCUGAUGUUAGCGGCGGACGGGUGAGUAACACGUGGAUAACCUACCUAUAAGACUGGGAUAACUUCGGGAAACCGGAGCUAAUACCGGAUAAUAUUUUGAACCGCAUGGUUCAAAAGUGAAAGACGGUCUUGCUGUCACUUAUAGAUGGAUCCGCGCUGCAUUAGCUAGUUGGUAAGGUAACGGCUUACCAAGGCAACGAUGCAUAGCCGACCUGAGAGGGUGAUCGGCCACACUGGAACUUAGACACGGUCCAGACUCCUACGGGAGGCAGCAGUAGGGAAUCUUCCGCAAUGGGCGAAAGCCUGACGGAGCAACGCCGCGUGAGUGAUGAAGGUCUUCGGAUCGUAAAACUCUGUUAUUAGGGAAGAACAUAUGUGUAAGUAACUGUGCACAUCUUGACGGUACCUAAUCAGAAAGUCACGGCUAACUACGUG